rnacentral:rRNA from 1 species
CCUACGGGUGGCAGCAGUGGGGAAUAUUGCACAAUGGGGGAAACCCUGAUGCAGCAAUGCCGCGUGAGUGAAGAAGUAUUUCGGUAUGUAAAGCUCUUUCAGCAGGGAAGAAGAUGACGGUACCUGAUUCAGAAGCCCCGGCUAACUCCGUGCCAGCAGCCGCGGUAAUACGUCGGGGGCAAGCGUAAUCCGGAUUUACGGGGUGUAAAGGGAGCGCAGACGGCAGUGCAAGUCUGGAGUGAAAGCCCGGGGCUCAACCCCGGAACUGCUCUGGAAACUGUGCGGCUAGAGUACUGGAGGGGCAGGCGGAAUUCAUGGUGUAGCGGUGAAAUGCGUAGAGAUUAGGAGGAACACCGGUGGCGAAGGCGGCCUGCUGGACAAUAACUGACGUUGAGGCUCGAAAGCGUGGGGAGCAAACAGGAUUAGAUACCCCUGUAGUC